UACGAAGGGGGCUAGCGUUGCUCGGAAUCACUGGGCGUAAAGGGUGCGUAGGCGGGUCUUUAAGUCAGGGGGUGAAAUCCUGGAGCUCAACUCCAGAACUGCCUUUGAUACUGAGGAUCUUGAGUUCGGGAGAGGUGAGUGGAACUGCGAGUGUAGAGGUGAAAUUCGUAGAUAUUCGCAAGAACACCAGUGGCGAAGGCGGC
rnacentral:rRNA from 1 species